CAGCACCACCUCGCCCGCGAAGUAGCAUUCUUCGGAUCCAAACCUAGCCUCUUUCCUUGGGCGACCCUAGUAUGGACUUUGGCGAGCCAGGUACGUCUAUAUAUAGUAUUUCGAAUUUUCCAUCCUCGCCUUCCGCCGAUCAACUCCGCCCAUGCCUUGGUCGGUAGCCGCUGUCCCGCCGUCAACGCCUUUCCUCUCUUGCUGCCGAUCAACAAGUCUGUUCUGCGAGAACCCUUGGUGUUGAGGUUCAAGAUUGAAACAUCAUGCGUGAGGGAUCCUAAAAAACAUGUAUUCGUCCGAGAAAAUUCUUGACAGUCAAAGGAACUGUUUCCCCAGAUUUUUCAUUCUGCUCCAUUUUGGGUCACAGCGAUGAUGAGGUCCAGAGGUUGAUCCCAGCUUGUCUUGAUUCGAUAAGUAAAUCAAGUUGCGGGCGUGGUAGUAAUACUUAGAGUUGGUGUCCCAGCACCUUUUGAUCAUGCACUGCAAUAAAUUUAAACACUGGCUACAAGCAGCAUAUUUGGCUUCUAGAACUAGGGGCAAACAUAUAGCUGAAUUGGUAAAAGAUCCCUUGUUUUGGGCGGCUGCUGCUGAAAAAUCACAAAUCCUCUACUUGGUGUCUUGCAUCAGAUCAAUCGAGGCGAUGAAGCUCCAAUAGGAUUUUUGUAUGAUGGCAUGGAUCAGGCUAAUGAAGAAAUAAGAAUAAAUCCAGUCAGGUGAUUUCUUUGUUGAUGCUGAGGUUACUAAUGAGCUAUUCUGAUGCAUUGCCCGUUUGAUUGAGGACCAACAUGAGCAAGAGCUGAUAGUUCGACAGCUUGAUACCUAUAGAGCGGGUUCCACAGGAUUUGCGGAGGAGAUGGCUGUUGAUCAAAGAGCACAAAAUCCACCAGUUUCAUAUUCCAAUGAUAUGCGCCUGGAUUACCUAGAAGUUUGCUUCUGCCAUCAGCACUAUUGAGAAUCCAUGGAUUAAAAUAUGGAAACAAAUACCCACAAUAUUUCUAUUUGCAGCAUCUCAAGUUGCUGAAGGUUCAGAGUCCGAUCCCAGCUCAGCUCCAUCGUGGAAGGUGACAUCUGGCAAUUAAUAUGUAAUGAAUUUGCCUUUUAGUAAAUCUGUAAAACCACAAAAGUGUUUUUUUUUUUCUUGCUAGGCUUGUGAAUACCAUCUACAUUGGUCAGUGAAUAUGAACUUGACUUGAUUUUGAUCCAAUACACUCCUGACAUGGUUCCAUUAAUUUGAACUAUCAAUCAAUGCAAUUUAAUUCUAAA